rnacentral:rRNA from 1 species
GAUGAACGCUAGCGGCAGGCCUAACACAUGCAAGUCGAGGGGCAGCACAUAAAGUGGUUUACUACUUUUGGUGGCGACCGGCGGACGGGUGCGUAACGCGUAUGCAACCUGCCUCCAACAGGGGGAUAACGGAGAGAAAUUUCCACUAAUACCCCAUAAUAUCAGAAUCGGCAUCGGUUUUGGUUGAAAACUCCGGUGGUUGGAGAUGGGCAUGCGUUGUAUUAGAUAGUUGGUGAGGUAACGGCUCACCAAGUCAACGAUACAUAGGGGGACUGAGAGGUUAGCCCCCCACACUGGUACUGAGACACGGACCAGACUCCUACGGGAGGCAGCGGUGAGGAAUAUUGGUCAAUGGGGGCAACCCUGAACCAGCCAUGCCGCGUGCAGGAAGACGGCUCUAUGAGUUGUAAACUGCUUUUACAAGGGGAUAAAUCGGUGUACGUGUACACCGUUGAAGGUACCUUGGGAAUAAGGAUCGGCUAACUCUGUGCCAGCCGCCGCAGUAA